GAUGAACGCUGGCGGCGUGCCUAAUACAUGCAAGUCGAGCGAACAGAUGAGGAGCUUGCUCCUCUGACGUUAGCGGCGGACGGGUGAGUAACACGUGGAUAACCUACCUAUAAGACUGGGAUAACUUCGGGAAACCGGAGCUAACACCGGAUAAUAUAUUGAACCGCAUGGUUCAAUAGUGAAAGACGGUUUUGCUGUCACUUAUAGAUGUAUCCGCGCCGCAUUGGCUAGUUGGUAAGGUAACGGCUUACCAAGGCAACGAUGCGUAGCCGACCUGAGAGGGUGAUCGGCCACACUGGAACUGAGACACGGUCCAGACUCCUACGGGAGGCAGCAGUAGGGAAUCUUGCGCAAAGGGCGAAAGCCUGACGGAGCAACGCCGCGUGAGUGAUGAAGGUCUUCGGAUCGUAAAACUCUGUUAUUAGGGAAGAAAAAAUGUGUAAGUAAAUAUGCACGUCUUGACGGUACCUAAUCAGAAAGCCACGGCUAACUACGUG
rnacentral:rRNA from 1 species